rnacentral:rRNA from 1 species
CCCUUAGAUGUCCUGGGCCGCACGCGCGCUACACUGAUGCAUUCAACGAGUUUUACCUUGGCCGAGAGGCCUGGGCAAUCUUUUGAACCUGCAUCGUGAUAGGGAUAGAUUAUUGCAAUUAUUAAUCUUGAACGAGGAAUUCCUAGUAAACGCAGAUCAUCAAUCUGCAUUGAUUACGUCCCUGCCCUUUGUACACACCGCCCGUCGCACCUACCGAUUGAAUGGUCCGGUGAAGCCUCGGGAUUAUGGCGAGUUCCCUUUAUUGGGAGUUUGUCGCGAGAACUUGUCUAAACCUUAUCAUUUAGAGGAAGGUGAAGUCGUAACA